GAAAAAUAUCGUCGGCGGACGUUUUAUUUACGUUUGUGUGUACAAAAUGUUUUAGGACUUAAUUUUUCACUACUAAAAUGGAAACAUAUGUUUUACAUGCUAUAUAUAAUUGAAUAACUCAAUGUACAGUACAAUAAAUCGUUUGUACAUAAUUCUCAUCAUCGUCGUAUAUAAUAGCCCAUAAAUAUAAAUUUAAUAUAAUAAUUGCUCGGUUACGGUCUAAACGCUUAAAUAUAUCAUAUAAUAGUAUACGAUAAUAUGCCUAUUGUCACAUGAAUCAUAUCCUGAAUGGACACAACCUUUUAAUUUUUUUUUUUAUCGUCCUAUAUUAAACGUGUCACACGGAAUCUCUAGAGUUUUUUUUAUCCGCGAAAAAAAUAUUUACACAAUACCUGUAGCUCGUCUUGAGAGAAGAAAUAAAAACCAUCCGAAUCGCGGGUGGUCUAUAUAUUAUAAAUGGUAUAAAGAACAUAAAUUGUAUAUAAUAUCGAAAAUAUGUGACCCGAUUUUUACGAUUAUAGAAAUUAUUUAUUGUAAUACAUACACACGCACCAUUCGAUUUGUAUUAUGUUGUUAUUUUUUAUAAAAAAACAUCGAAUUUUUUUAUAGUUAGUCUUUAAAAUAAAAAACAUUUCGGGUCGGGUAAAAAUUGCACUUGGCGUAGUCGAGACUCAACCUUCCAGCGUGUCGGACAAUCGCAUCGGAGGACACCGUCAGACGGACGAUAUAAUAUUGUGUAUACUUUUGUGAAACGUAUUCGAUAAAAUGAAAACCUUUGCGAAAGGGCUUGAAUUUCUAGUGUGAAGCUGUCUCCGGAAAAUCGACAUCUAUGUGUACAUCAAUUAGGCGUAUGUCUAUUACUUCCGACACGUAAAUACCAUCGAUAACAGAAAACAUUUUUAAGUGGUUUUUCCAGGUCGUCUGCCCCGGCCGGAACAACUGAAGCAGCAGCCACAGGCGCUCCGACCAAGCCCAGCUCGCCGCGGAUAUUAUAAUCGGAUACCAAUCGCUAUCACACACAAGGGUUGCAAAUGAUGCGAUGGCGACGGGGAAUGGAAAUCAAAAAGGAAGCGAGACAGUGGAAAUCGUGGAAAAUUUCGCGAACGCCAUAACAUAAUAAUAUUUUAAUAUAUUUAUUAUGAUUAAUAUCGUGGUGGUUACGAGCUGCAGCGACAUCCGUCGACGACCGUACACGGGAAAACCAUUAGACGAAAUGACUGCAAGCGACGCCGGAGGACCCGUCCGAGGCUUCCAUCCACAAUAAUUUGUAUGAAUGCGGACGAGCGGUCGCACGAGAGUGCAUAUAAUAUUAUAUACAGUAAAAAUAAUAAUAUUCACAAUUUUUUAUGCACCUACCACCUAUAUACCUAUAUGAUAGGCGCGCACACGUCCUGAACGGAGAUAGAUAGCUAGUGUAAGUUGUAUUGCAGGUAACCAUACAUAAUAUACAAUAUUAUAAUAAUAUUAUAAUGUCGAAAUGCAGGUAAUCCCGGUAUGUAUAUUGGGACCGGUCCAAAAUCCAAUUAGUGCGACCGCUGCAGGAACGGGCGUUGAAAAAUCGACUGCCGUUCGAUCGUACGAUUGUGAGUCGAGUGUACACUCGGUUGGAGCAGCAACUUAUGUUAUAGCUGCAACCUCGGUCGCCAUCGUGGCCUAAGAUGACGUGCGUGAAGUAAAUUUCCGUCGAAUGCUGCAGCAAUAAUUGUGCUUGUGCAUUAUUUUUUUUAAUUCGUUUCGCCCGAGGACCGAUUCACAAGACUCGAAGGAUUAUCAAUCAUAUUGUUAUUAUUUUUAUUAGAAAUAAUAAUUAUGCUGAAAUAAAAGUGGAAAAAAUUAUCGAUUUAUAAUUUACUAACUAAAGUUUUGAACUAU